rnacentral:rRNA from 1 species
UACGUAGGGGGCAAGCGUUGUCCGGAUUUAUUGGGCGUAAAGAGCGUGUAGGCGGCCAUGCAGGUCAGCUGUGAAAACUCGAGGCUCAACCUCGAGAUGUCGGUUGAAACCGCAUGGCUAGAGUCCGGAAGAGGAGAGUGGAAUUCCCGGUGUAGCGGUGAAAUGCGCAGAUAUCGGGAAGAACACCCGUGGCGAAGGCGGCUCUCUGGGACGGUACUGACGCUGAGACGCGAAAGCGUGGGGAGCGAACAGG